rnacentral:rRNA from 1 species
UACAGAGGGUGCAAGCGUUGUUCGGAAUUAUUGGGCGUAAAGGGCGCGUAGGCGGCCAUGCGUGUCUUCCGUGAAAUCCCUCGGCUUAACCGAGGACGUGCGGAAGAAACUGCAAGGCUCGAGUCCGGAAGAGGGGGGCGGAAUUCCCAGUGUAGCGGUGAAAUGCGUAGAUAUUGGGAGGAACACCAGUGGCGAAGGCGGUCCCCUGGGCCGGAACUGACGCUGAGGCGCGAAAGCGUGGGUAGCAAACGGG